CAGGGUCCCUGAGUGCUUUCAAAGGCGUUCCGAGAUCUGGGUUUGGUCUCGGGGUAUAUUGCCCCGACUUUGAAGUGGAGUGUGAGAACAUGUGCGUGGCUGUCGGACACAAGGAUGGAUACUGCAACGGGACGAUAUGUUUGUGUGAAGACCACGUAGUAGUGAACCUAGGACUACGGCAACGUAGCUGAGCUUUCUGAUUCACCGAAUAAUUCCAACUGGUGCCUCUUAAGACAAAGUGUCCUUGCAGCUCGCACUCGACUUCCACAUGCUGUACACUCGCGUUUUUAUGUUCAUUUUUUGAUGUUGGCGAAAAAACAAAUAAACUUCACAUUUGGAAAUUG